rnacentral:tRNA from 1 species
AGCUAACAUGGUGUAGUGGUUUGAGCAUUGGAUUACGACUCUGGAGACCAGGGUUCGAAUCCCUGUUCAGUUA